UGUUUUGGGAGCUGUGCAAUGAGGUGUUCCUUCAUAAUGCAUUAUUUCUGCUUUUCCUUUGCAGAGAGAAGCGAUGCAAAGUUGGAGACACUAGCUGAAAACCUGAAAAGAAUUGGUGUAAAUUUGGAGAAACUAGCUGGAAAAUUGGAGCAACAAACAGAAGCAGUGGGUGAGUCUUCUUCCCC